UUUUUGAUAUUAAUUUAAAGUCAGGCCUGCCCACUGAAAUUUUUAAAGGGCCGCGGUAUUUUGACUGUGCAAAGGUAGCAUAAUCAUUUGUCUUUUAAUUGAAGGCUGGAAUGAAUGGUUUGAUGAAAUAUUAACUGUCUCAAUUUAAUAAAAUUAAAAAUUUAGUAUUUAAGUUAAAAAGCUUAAAUUUAAUUAAAAGACGAGAAGACCCUAUAGAUCUUUAUUAUUAAAAAUUUAAUUUAUAUUUAGUAUAAUUAAUUAUUAAUUAAUUAUUAAUAAUUUUAUUGGGGUGAUAGGAAAAUUUAAUAAACUUUUUUUAUUUAAACCCAAAAAUUUUUGAUUUAUUGAUCCAUUUUUAGUGAUUAUAAGAUUAAGUUACCUUAGGGAUAACAGCAUAAUUAUUUUUGAGAGUUCUUAUCGAUAAAAUAGAUUGUGACCUCGAUGUUGAAUUAAAGAUUAUUUUUAGGUGUAGAAGUUUAAAAUAUAGGUCUGUUCGACCUUUAAAUCUUU
rnacentral:rRNA from 1 species